rnacentral:rRNA from 1 species
GACGGAGGGUGCUAGCGUUGUUCGGAAUCACUGGGCGUAAAGGGCGCGCAGGCGGCCCGGCCAGUCGGACGUGAAAGCCCGGGGCUCAACCCCGGAACGGCGUCCGAGACGGCCGGGCUGGAGACCGGGAGAGGAGGGUGGAAUAGCCAGUGUAGAGGUGAAAUUCGUAGAUAUUGGCUGGAACACCGGUGGCGAAAGCGGCUCUCUGGCCCGGGUCUGACGCUGAGGCGCGAAAGCGUGGGGAGCAAACAGG